rnacentral:rRNA from 1 species
AUGCUCUCGACGAUCAGGGACUCGGUGCUCUGGCCGCUUUCUGCCUCUGGGCGGUUUUCUGUUAAGUCGCUCUAUUCUAAGCUAGUUGGUGGCACACCUACCAGUCGUUUUUCCCAAGUUUGGAAGGCCCGUAUUCCCCCUAAGAUAAAAAUUUUCUUGUGGCAAGCCUCUCGAGGCCGGCUGCCCUCGGCUGAUCAGAUUCGUAAGAGAAACGGGCCGGGUUCCCAGUUUUGUGCUCUUUGUGGUGAGGUGGAGGAUUCGGAUCAUAUCUUUUUUCACUGUCACCUGGCUAAGCUUAUUUGGAGUUGUGUGCGGGACUGGCUUUAUGUGUCUUGGGCCCCUGCCUCCUUUGCUGAGUUGCGCAGCCUGGCAUCCAACCUUUCCGGUGUUUCUAGACGGAUCUUUUGGGUGGGCUUGGGGGCUUUAUGCUGGUCUCUGUGGACUACUAGGAACAAAUUUACUAUCGAGCACGUGUUUCCGGCUAAACCGGCUGACUGCUUAUUUAAACCGUGUGCUUUCCUGCAGUAG